rnacentral:sRNA from 1 species
GAGAUCAGCAGCAAGAACCCACCGAGAGUAGCCCCCGAAAGGGGGAGCUAGUAGGAAUCCCCAUCCUUUAGGGCGGGGAGGAUGUCAAACUAAAUAACU